rnacentral:rRNA from 1 species
UACGGGGGGGGCAAGCGUUGUUCGGAAUUACUGGGCGUAAAGGGCUCGUAGGCGGCCAACUAAGUCAGACGUGAAAUCCCUCGGCUUAACCGGGGAACUGCGUCUGAUACUGGAUGGCUUGAGUUUGGGAGAGGGAUGCGGAAUUCCAGGUGUAGCGGUGAAAUGCGUAGAUAUCUGGAGGAACACCGGUGGCGAAGGCGGAUCUCUGGGCCUUGCCUGACGCUGAGGCGCGAAAGCUAGGGGAGCGAACAGG